rnacentral:lncRNA from 1 species
GGGAGUCAUGGUGUUUGGAGGGAUGACGCUUGUGAGCUCGACAGAACAACACGGCAAGGGUCUCCCCAGAGAGCGGCAGGCGUGAUGAGACCCACAGCCGUCCAGGCCCCGAGCCUGUGUCCCCACCCCCUGCUACGGGCUGGCUUGGCCUGAGUUGGAGGGUGGCACCUUCCUGGGCCCUGUUUCUGGGCUAAAAGUGAUGGCUUCACUUUAGCAGGACAAACUCACACCCUCCUCUAGACGGCUCCGCUCCGAGCACAGAAGAUAUCAGCCAGCCUGGACGUGUCACCUGGACUUGCUGAACCCUCGAGGGCUCACUCCCAGCAUCCUGUGCUCCAGUGCUCCUGGACGCCCCGGUGCCUUCCAGAAGCACGGCCUCAAUGAAACGGAGAGAGCCAGGGGGUGGCUUUCCGGCCCGCUGGGUGCAGGGCAGGUACCAGCUUUCUCAUCUUUUGUCAUCCUGUCUACAAAUUCUACAAAUUUCCCGGAGUUCAGAAUCAAAGACAAGACAAGACGGGACAAUUAACCUCAUUGCUGAUACCUGAUCGACCUCGGUUCUGAACACUCACCCCUGCACCUGCAGUCACUGCCCUGCCUGCUUCCGUCUGAGUUCAGCACCUACAGAACGUGCCUGUCCACACGGCAGGGAGGAGCCCGUUGAGCACCAACACGGGCGUCCAGGAUUCUCGGUGCGGACCGGGCCCCCUCACGCCCCGUGGCUGCCCCCUGCCGGUCAGCUCGCCAAGGCAGGUUUUCCUCGUUCUGUUUUGUUUACGGAACUGCCAGCGACACACUGUGUGAUGAGUUUCAGGUGGGCGUCGUAGAGGUUGGGGUCUCCACCCCCUGCACACAGGUGCCCGUGGUACGUCUGCUCACCACCCACCACAGAGCUGGUGCC